UACAGAGGUCUCAAGCGUUGUUCGGAUUCAUUGGGCGUAAAGGGUGCGUAGGUGGCGCGCUAAGUCAGGUGUGAAAUUUCGGAGCUUAACUCCGAAACUGCAUUUGAUACUGGCGUGCUUGAGGACUGGAGAGGAGACUGGAAUUCACGGUGUAGCAGUGAAAUGCGUAGAGAUCGGGAGGAAGGCCGGUGGCGAAGGCGGCGCUCUGGAACAUUUCUGACGCUGAGGCUCGGAAAGCGUGGGGAGCAAACAGG
rnacentral:rRNA from 1 species